rnacentral:tRNA from 1 species
GGGGUUGUAACUCAGGGGUAGAGUGAUCGCUUUGCAUGCGAAAAGCUCGGAGUUCAAUCAUCCGCAACUCCA